GGGCCAAAUCUUCCUUUAACACUUGAGGUUCUGCAAUAACUUCUAUUUACAGCCGCGAACCUCCAGCCCAGAUCCCGUCAGCAGCGGCUUUAAUCCGCCUGGUAGAAACGUUAAGGAGAAUCAGAGCAAACAGUCAGCAGGUGGUACCGGGGCUUUGAGCUGCGUUGCGACUCGCGGUGACAAUCACAGUACCGUGUCUUAUAUCAGGAUGUCUGAUAUAAAGACAGAUAUUCUUUAUAUCUGUCAGUGGACCGACUCAAGCUGCCUGUAGUGAACCGGGCCUUUAGCAGAAUGAUGAAGUUAAAGUCAGAAGUUUCUCUGCAGCCGAAGCAUUUCUGUGUUUAGGGGCGAGGCAGGUUUUGUCUCGCUAUUGCAAGGACAAUUAUAAAAAUAUAAAUAGAAACAGUUUUUCUAACGUCAACAUCAGACCUACGUUUUUAUUCACAAACCGUUUUUA